rnacentral:rRNA from 1 species
GACGAACGCUGGCGGCGUGCCUAAUACAUGCAAGUCGAGCGGAGUUAUUCCUUCGGGAAUGACUUAGCGGCGGACGGGUGAGUAACACGUAGGUAACCUGCCUGCAAGCCCGGGAUAACAUUCGGAAACGAAUGCUAAUACCGGAUACGCGAUUUGAUCGCAUGAUCGAAUCGGGAAAGAUGGAGCAAUCUAUCACUUGCAGAUGGACCUGCGGCGCAUUAGCUAGUUGGUGAGGUAACGGCUCACCAAGGCGACGAUGCGUAGCCGACCUGAGAGGGUGAUCGGCCACACUGGGACUGAGACACGGCCCAGACUCCUACGGGAGGCAGCAGUAGGGAAUCUUCCGCAAUGGACGAAAGUCUGACGGAGCAACGCCGCGUGAGUGAAGAAGGUUUUCGGAUCGUAAAGCUCUGUUGCCAGGGAAGAACAGACUGGAGAGUAACUGCUCUAGUUGUGACGGUACCUGAGAAGAAAGCCCCGGCUAACUACGUGCCAGCCGCCGCCGUAAAAC